rnacentral:rRNA from 1 species
UACGGGGGGGGCAAGCGUUGUUCGGAAUUACUGGGCGUAAAGCGCGUGUAGGCGGCUUGGCAAGUCGGAUGUGAAAGCCCACGGCUCAACCGUGGAAGCGCAUCCGAAACGGCCUCGCUCGAGUCUCGGAGAGGAAGGUGGAAUGCUUGGUGUAGAGGUGAAAUUCGUAGAUAUCAAGCAGAACACCUGCGGCGAAGGCGGCCUUCUGGACGAUGACUGACGCUGAGACGCGAAAGCGUGGGGAGCAAACAGG